AGUGGCGGACGGGUGAGUAAUGAAUCGCUAACGUACCCUCCUGUCUGGGAUAGCCAGCCGAAAGGCUGGGUAAUACCAGAUGAGACCACGGUGGGGCAUCCCACAGUGCUCAAAGGGAAACCGCGGGAGGAGCGGGCGAUUUCGUAUCAGCUAGUUGGUAGGGUAACGGCCUACCAAGGCGACGACGCGUAGCCGGGCUGAGAGGUCGGCCGGCCACAUUGGGACUGAGACACUGCCCAGACUCCUACGGGGGGCUGCAGUAACGAAUCUUCCACAAUGCACGAAAGUGUGAUGGAGCGACGCCGCGUGCAGGAUGAAGUCCUUCGGGAUGUAAACUGCUGUCAGGGGAAAGAAAGUUCUGAUCUACCCCAGAGGAAGAGGCGGCUAACUCUGUGCCAGCAGCCGCGGCAAGACAGAGGCCUCGAGCGUUAGGCGGAAUCACUGGGCUUAAAGCGUGUGUAGGCGGAAGCGUAAGUACCUUGUGAAAUCCCACGGCUCAACCGUGGAACUGCUUGGUAUACUGCGUUUCUUGAGCCAUUUAGGGGCGAGUGGAACGGAUGGUGGAGCGGUGAAAUGCAUAGAUAUCAUCCGGAACGCCCGUGGUGAAGACGACUCGCUGGGAAUGUGCUGACGCUGAGACACGAAAGCCAGGGGAGCAAACGGGAUUAGAUACCCCGGUAGUCCUGGCCCUAAACGAUGUCCACUAGACUGCA
rnacentral:rRNA from 1 species